rnacentral:rRNA from 1 species
UACAGAGGGUGCGAGCGUUAAUCGGAAUUACUGGGCGUAAAGCGCGCGUAGGCGGCUUUGCAAGUCGGGUGUGAAAUCCCCAGGCUUAACCUGGGAACUGCAUUCGAGACUGCAUUGCUAGAGUAUGGGAGAGGGAAGUGGAAUUUCCGGUGUAGCGGUGAAAUGCGUAGAUAUUAGGAGGAACACCGGUGGCGAAGGCGCCACUCUGGGCCGAAACUGACGCUGAGGAGCGAAAGCAUGGGUAGCAAACAGG